AAAAAAAAAACAGUCAGUGACAUUUUGAAUUCUUAUUUGUUCAACACCGGUCAAUUUUCUGUUGUGCCUCAGAUGGGUCUCUCUUAUUAAUCUCUCUUCCUCAGCAUCUGUAACCCAAUAAAGGUGAAAUGGGAGCCACUCUUUCAUCACUUUAUUAGGAGAAGCAAGAACUGUCCUGCAGAUACCAAAAGCUUCAGGGGCUAGGCAAGAGUCCAUUUCAAAUUUCGUAUCAUCUUCAUGCACCAGCUGUGAAAAUCAAUUAGCCUCGGUGAGACUAAGAUGCUGUCUGUUCUCAAUAAUGAAAAAUACCAACUGCACUCUAGCAAUUUUCUCUGUCUGUAAAAAGAGGGACUGUGCUUCUGAAUUUCUUUCUCACACAUUUGCUACAUAGAAUUGCCUUUUUACUACUGCUUUUGAAAGUUACCAGAUAUGCCAGACAGAUUAACACAGGACAUAGUUUAGAAAGGCAGAAAAGCUAUGCUGUAACACAC
rnacentral:lncRNA from 1 species